CUGGUGCCAGCAGCCGCGGUAAUUCCAGCUCCAAUAGCGUAUAUUAAAGUUGUUGCAGUUAAAAGCUCGUAGUUGAAUUUCGGGGUUAGUAGGUUGGUCAUGCCUCUGGUAUGUACUGGUCUCACUGAUUCCUCCUUCCUGAUGAACCUUAAUGCCAUUAAUUUGGUGUUUUGGGGAAUUUGGACUGUUACUUUGAAAAAUUAGAGUGUUUAAAGCAAGCUAACGCUUGAAUACAUUAGCAUGGAAUAAUGAAAUAGGACGUUCGAUCCUAUUUUGUUGGUUUCUAGGAUUGACGUAAUGAUUAAUAGGGAUAGUUGGGGCAUUAGUAUUCAAUUGUCAGAGGUGAAAUUCUUGGAUUUAUUGAAGACUAACUACUGCGAAAGCAUUUGCCAAGGAUGUUUUCAUUAAUCAAGAACGAAAGUUAGGGGGAUCGAAGACGAUCAGAUACCGUCGUAGUCUUAACCAUAAACUAUGCCGACUAGGGAUCGGAUGAUGUUAAUUUUUAAUGACUCAUUCGGCGCCUUACG
rnacentral:rRNA from 1 species